rnacentral:rRNA from 1 species
GACGAACGCUGGCGGCGUGCCUAAUACAUGCAAGUAGAACGCUGAAGAGAGGAGCUUACUCUUCUUGGAUGAGUUGCGAACGGGUGAGUAACGCGUAGGUAACCUGCCUUGUAGCGGGGGAUAACUAUUGGAAACGAUAGCUAAUACCGCAUAACAAUGGAUGACACAUGUCAUUUAUUUGAAAGGGGCAAUUGCUCCACUACAAGAUGGACCUGCGUUGUAUUAGCUAGUAGGUGAGGUAAUGGCUCACCUAGGCGACGAUACAUAGCCGACCUGAGAGGGUGAUCGGCCACACUGGGACUGAGACACGGCCCAGACUCCUACGGGAGGCAGCCGUAGGGAAUCUUCGGCCAUGGGGGCAACCCUGACCGAGCAACGCCGCGUGAGUGAAGAAGGUUUUCGGAUCGUAAAGCUCUGUUGUAAGUCAAGAACGGGUGUGAGAGUGGAAAGUUCACACUGUGACGGUAGCUUACCAGAAAGAGACGGCUAACUACGUG